UAGGCAAGUUAGCCCCGUAACUUCGGGAAAAGGGGCGCCUUAUUAGGGGGAAGCCGUACAGGCGGAGCCCGAGGAGGCCGCAGAGAAAUGGCUCUAGCGACUGUUUAAUAAAAACACAGGACUCUGCAAAGACAUAAAAUCGAUGUAUAGGGUCUGACGCCUGCCCGGUGCUGGAAGGUUAAGGGAAGGGGUUAGCCGUAAGGCGAAGCUCUGAACCGAAGCCCCAGUAAACGGCGGCCGUAACAAUAACGGUCCUAAGGUAGCGAAAUUCCUUGUCGGGUAAGUUCCGACCCGCACGAAAGGCGUAACGACUUGAGCGCUGUCUCAAAGAGGGGCUCGGCGAAAUUGUGGUACCGGUGAAGACGCCGGUUACCUGCCGCUGGACGGAAAGACCCCGGCACCUUAACUGCAUCCUAGCAUUGGAUUUCGGUCCAUGAUGCGCAGGAUAGGUGGGAGGCUAUGAAGCAUCGGCUCCGGCCGGUGUGGAGCCAACGGUGAGAUACCACUCUUCCUGGUCUGAGAUUCUAACCUCCGCCCCUGAUCGGGGCGAGGAACAGUGUUAGGUGGGUAGUUUGACUGGGGCGGUCGCCUCCUAAAAUGUAACGGAGGCGCCCAAAGGUUCCCUCAGGUUGUUUGGAAAUCAACCGCAGAGUGCAAAGGCAUAAGGGAGCUUGACUGUGAGGCCGACGUGCCGAACAGGUGGGAAACCAGGGCUUAGUGAUCCGGUGAUCCUGUAUGGGAGGGUCAUCGCUCAACGGAUAAAAGGUACGCCGGGGAUAACAGGCUAAUAGUGUCCAAGAGCUCACAUCGACGACACUGUUUGGCACCUCGAUGUCGGCUCAUCUCAUCCUGGGGCUGAAGCAGGUCCCAAGGGUCCGGCUGUUCGCCGGUUAAAGAGGUACGUGAGCUGGGUUUAGAACGUCGCGAGACAGUUCGGUCCCUAUCCACGGUAGGCGUAGGAGAUUUGAGGGGGGCUGCCCAUAGUACGAAAGGACCUGGGUGGACGAACCUCUAGUGUACCAGUUGUCCCGCCAGGGGCAGCGCUGGGUAGCUACGUUCGGUUGUGAUAACCGCUGAAAGCAUAUAAGCGGGAAGCACGCCCCAAGAUAAGAUCUCCCUCCCGCAAGGGCUGAAGGUCCCUGGUAGACGACCAGGUUGAUAGGCAGGAGGUGUAAGCGCAGAGAUGCGUUCAGCUGACCAGUACUAAUAGACCGUGAGGCUUGACCAU
rnacentral:rRNA from 1 species